AUUGAACGCUGGCGGCAUGCCUUACACAUGCAAGUCGAACGGCAGCACGGGCUUCGGUCUGGUGGCGAGUGGCGAACGGGUGAGUAAUAUAUCGGAACAUACCCUAGAGUGGGGGAUAACGUAGCGAAAGUUACGCUAAUACCGCAUACGAACUAAGGUUGAAAGUGGGGGAUCGCAAGACCUCAUGCUCAUGGAGUGGCCGAUAUCUGAUUAGCUAGUUGGUGAGGUAAAGGCUCACCAAGGCGACGAUCAGUAGCUGGUUUGAGAGAACGACCAGCCACACUGGAACUGAGACAUGGUCCAGACUCCUACGGAGGCAGCAGUGGGGAAUUUUGGACAAUGGGCGCAAGCCUGAUCCAGCAAUGCCGCGUGAGUGAAGAAGGCCUCGGUUGUAAG
rnacentral:rRNA from 1 species